UAAGUUGGUGUCAGAAGCUUAUACAGAAUAGCUAUGAACAACUUGGUUCAAGAAAAGGUAUACACAAGAAGGUAUAUGUUACAAUCAACUUGUUUCAAGAUAAAGUACAACAAAUGCACAAACAUAAAAUCACAUAUAAUAUCUGAAUCUGUGACAUCUUACAUGUAUUAAUUUUUCAUUUGCUUUUGAACUGGAAAUUAUUUAUCAUUUGUUGCAUUCCAGCGUCAUAACUUAGCUGUCACAGUCAGAGGGAGUUGGACUUCAGCAUGCUCUCCUCAAGUUAGAUACCCACUUUCUUCUUCCAUCCAACACUCAACUCACCAGACCAUGAGCAAAUAGAAAAGGAAACAAGAAUUGAAGGUACAAUGAUUACCUUCAUAUCAGCUUAGUCUAGAUACAAGCUUAUAAAAUCUACAUCUUUACAAGGUAGGAGUAAGGUCUGCAUACACUUUACCCUUCGCAGACCUCACAAUGCGGGAAUACAUAGGGUACUUUGUUGUUGUUACAUCUUUAUACCUCACAAUGUGGGAAUACAUAGGGUACUUUGUUGUUGUUACAUCUUUACCACGGAUUGGUCCACCAUUUGUCACAUUCACAUGCAACUCCAGCAAACUCAAAAUAAAAUAACUUAGUAAUA
rnacentral:lncRNA from 1 species